rnacentral:ncRNA from 1 species
AUGAUAGAGGCGCGGUCAACAUCAGUACGCUUCCAGCAUCCGGCAGACACCGGGGAAGCGGAAAGGAAAGAUCGCCGAAGGACCUCUCCGCUGUCUGGCGGGGCGGUUCCUGGGACGCGGGAAAACAUUCCGCGGACUGUCACUUCGGUGGAGAGCUGUC